rnacentral:rRNA from 1 species
UACGGGGGGGGCAAGCGUUGUUCGGAAUUACUGGGCGUAAAGGGCUCGUAGGCGGCCAACUAAGUCAGACGUGAAAUCCCUCGGCUUAACCGGGGAACUGCGUCUGAUACUGGAUGGCUAGAGUGUGGGAGAGGGAUGCGGAAUUCCAGGUGUAGCGGUGAAAUGCGUAGAUAUCUGGAGGAACACCGGUGGCGAAGGCGGCAUCUGGACCACGACUGACGCUGAGUGAGCGAAAGCCAGGGGAGCAAACGGG